rnacentral:rRNA from 1 species
UCUGGUCCAAGAGUCCACAUCGACGACCAGGUUUGGCACCUCGAUGUCGGCUCAUCGCAUCCUCCCGCUGAAGCAGGUGGGAAGGGUUGGGCUGUUCGCCCAUUAAAGCGGUACGUGAGCUGGGUUCAGUACGUCGUGAGACAGUACGGUCUCUAUCUGGUGUGCGCGAAGGAAACUUGAGGGGAGCUGUCCACAGUACGAGAGGACCUGGAUGGACGAACCUCCCGUAUACCAGUUGUCCUGCCAAGGGCAUAAGCUGGGUAGCGGUGUUCGGUAGGGAUAAACGCUGAAAGCAUCUAAGCGUGAAACCCGCCCCAAGAUUAGGUUUCCCUCCUCGAUUAACGAGGCUGAAGGCCCCCGGAAGACUACCGGGUUGAUAGGCGAGGUGUGUAAGCAUGGUAACAUGUUAAGCUAACUCGUACUAAUCGGCCGUGAGGCUUGGCCUUAU